rnacentral:rRNA from 1 species
AGUGAACGCUGGCGGUAGGCCUAACACAUGCAAGUCGAACGGCAGCACAGUAAGAGCUUGCUCUUACGGGUGGCGAGUGGCGGACGGGUGAGGAAUACAUCGGAAUCUACUUUUUCGUGGGGGAUAACGUAGGGAAACUUACGCUAAUACCGCAUACGACCUACGGGUGAAAGCAGGGGAUCUUCGGACCUUGCGCGGUUGAAUGAGCCGAUGUCGGAUUAGCUAGUUGGCGGGGUAAAGGCCCACCAAGGCGACGAUCCGUAGCUGGUCUGAGAGGAUGAUCAGCCACACUGGAACUGAGACACGGUCCAGACUCCUACGGGAGGCAACAGUGGGGAAUAUUGGACAAUGGGCGCAAGCCUGAUCCAGCCAUACCGCGUGGGUGAAGAAGGCCUUCGGGUUGUAAAGCCCUUUUGUUGGGAAAGAAAAGCAGCAGGUUAAUACCCCGCUGUUCUGACGGUACCCAAAGAAUAAGCACCGGCUAACUUCGUG